rnacentral:tRNA from 1 species
GGAGGAUUCGCCUAGUGGCCUAGGGCGCACGAUUGGAAAUCGUGUUGGUGUAAAAGCCUCAGGGGUUCAAAUCCCCUAUCCUCCG